AGAGUUUCUGUUUCAAUUCUCCAGUUUCUCCCAGUUAAUCCUGCAAGUUGCAACACCCCACUCCAUUAGCGCCUUUCGAUUCCUCUUUAGAUGCAAGAGCCUGCUUUCCUGCUGGGGGAAAAAACCCUGGAAAAAAUUGAACUUAGUGGCAUACUAUUAUUGAAGAAGACAUAUUCCUCUGAAAAUGGAACUGGAUUCAGAAACCAAUGCCUUGGUCAUUCAGGUUCACAACAUGGCCUAUGAAGAUGUCAAAGUGACUGUCAGUGCCAGGCCAUUCUUCACGUUGCUGGACGGCAAUAUGAUUUUCUUCUGGUACAAAUGGCUGUCAUCCUUAUUUAGCACAACAGUUUGUCCUGGAGAAAAAAAGCAAGUCAAUAAAGUUACCGACUGGAAUGUUAUCACCUACAAACUGGGAAAUUAUGGAUGGAAGCUUUACAACAUCACUGUAGUGAGAAAGUCAGAUGGAUAUGUUGCAACAUGUUCAACUCCUUUACAUUGCACUUGGAUAGUUGAGGAGAAGGGAGUCUAUCAAGAAGAGACCACUACAAACCGCUGCAAAUUUGAGCCACCUACUUAUAAUCCAUUAUCCUAAUAAGAGAGAAAUAGUUGUAUUUCCACUGUGUCAGAUGAAUUAUUUUGUAUAAUAUAAAAGCUCACAUUUGUUUGAUUUCAGUAUAAAUUAAUACACUGAAAGCUAGCAUAUUAGGUUGUUUGGAUGUUGCAUUCCAGAAACAAAACAAUAGCUACUUCUGCCAAACUUUUUAGCCAAAGCCUGAAUCUUUCCAGAUUUUGCACAAAUACCAAAGAUGCACUGGGUUUUUCUAUCCUUCCUUAUUGCUCUCAGAUACCUACUUUAGGAUAACAUAUGAUGUAGCUGGAUUUUUUGCAGCAGUGGUUAAAACCCAGCAGACAAUUAUUACAGUGGGAUACUAAUAUCAAGCUUGUCUAGAUGCAUGGAGGCCAUGCAACUUGAAGGGAUGGUUUUAAAUAUGUUUUAACUUGCCUUUUUUCUAUACUGUACCUUUUAUACUGUACCUUUUUGCCUGUGUUGGUCUAUGACUGUAAUAAA